AGCUUCUACAAGGUGAGGAUCCAUAAGGAAGAUAUUAGGAAACAUCUAAUUGAAGCUUGAAGAACCAAAAUGAGGAAGGCAGAAUUAGGAAAGACCCUGUCCGGUGACGCCUCCCCUUCUGGUUUCCAUCUGUGCCCCCUCUCAGGAGCCGCGGGAACACAAGCCUCGAGCAAGAAUCCAAUCACUUGAUGAUUCGAAAUCACCGCAAUGCCAUGGAAUGUAAAAACUGCUCUCGCCACGUCUAGAGACCGUUGCCUCUUCCUCCGCUGGGAACACGGUUCAUCUCCACUCUCCGAUUUCACGGUUUUAUUUGCCCUCUGGGACGCGCUGACAUUGUUCUAAGCACAUUUUCUAAGUGAUUGUGUGAGUGUGGGUGUGUUUUGUUGGACUCGAAGGGAGUCUAAUUUCUAGAAGUUCCUUUCAGGAGUCUGCCUUUACUGCAAAGUUGAUGUAUUCGAAAACACAGUAACUCUUUAUAGCAACAGAAUUUGUCACCUAAUUAAGUGCAAUUCGGUCAUAAAAGAAGCCAC
rnacentral:lncRNA from 1 species